UACGAAGGGGGCUAGCGUUGCUCGGAAUUACUGGGCGUAAAGCGCACGUAGGCGGCUUUCUAAGUCGGGGGUGAAAUCCUGGAGCUCAACUCCAGAACUGCCUUCGAUACUGGAAAGCUCGAGUCCGGGAGAGGUGAGUGGAACUGCGAGUGUAGAGGUGAAAUUCGUAGAUAUUCGCAAGAACACCAGUGGCGAAGGCGACUCGCUGGACUGAUACUGACGCUGAGGUGCGAAAGCGUGGGGAGCAAACAGG
rnacentral:rRNA from 1 species